UACAGAGGGGGCAAGCGUUGUUCGGAAUUACUGGGCGUAAAGGGCGCGUAGGCGGCCUUCUAAGUCGAACGUGAAAUCCCCGGGCUCAACCCGGGAACUGCGUCCGAUACUGGAAGGCUUGAAUCCGGGAGAGGGAUGCGGAAUUCCUGGUGUAGCGGUGGAAUGCGCAGAUAUCAGGAGGAACACCAAUGGCGAAGGCAGAUCUCUGGGCCGUAACUGACGCUGAGGAGCGAAAGCAUGGGGAGCGAGCAGG
rnacentral:rRNA from 1 species